GAUGAACGCUGGCGGCGUGCCUAAUACAUGCAAGUCGAGCGAACGGACGAGAAGCUUGCUUCUCUGAUGUUAUCGGCGGACGGGUGAGUAACACGUGGAUAACCUACCUAUAAGACUGGGAUAACUUCGGGAAACCGGAGCUAAUACCGGAUAAUAUUUUGAACCGCAUGGUUCAAAAGUGAAAGACGGUCUUGCUGUCACUGAUAGAUGGAUCCGCGCUGCAUUAGCUAGUUGGUAAGGUAACGGCUUACCAAGGCAACGAUGCAUAGCCGACCUGAGAGGGUGAUCGGCCACACUGGAACUGAGACACGGUCCAGACUCCUACGGGAGGCAGCAGUAGGGAAUCUUCCGCAAUGGGCGAAAGCCUGACGGAGCAACGCCGCGUGAGUGAUGAAGGUCUUCGGAUCGUAAAACUCUGUUAUUAGGGAAGAACAUAUGUGUAAGUAACUGUGCACAUCUUGACGGUACCUAAUCAGAAAGCCACGGCUAACUACGUG
rnacentral:rRNA from 1 species